UCAAGAUAAUCCAGAUCAAGUGCCUUCAAGCUAGCUCUGACAUUUGAACUACGAACUUCAACAUAGAUUGUAAUGCACUUCUCAAGUCUAUUAUUAGCAAUCAGCCUACCAAGGAUUGCUUGCAACUUCUGAAUAACAGUCACAGGUAAGGGCGAUGGUGCAAUGCAUGCCUGUUCGCCUAGUGAAGGUGAUGACAUUGGAAGUGGCACACUAUGCUCCGUCAAUAGUCUUCUAAACUCAUUUUCCAGUUUAUCCAAUGCAGCAUCCAAAAGGCCUCCAUCAAGAUGUACUCUUUCCCCAUCAUUUUGCAACUCCCUUAAGCCCUUGAGCGAUGUCUUCAAAUUUGACAGGUACAUUCCGUCAGCAACUCUGUUAUCCUCCAAAUACUCAAUUAUAUCUUCCAACCAUUGAAUUGCCAGUCCGCAAUUAUCACCCAGAAACCUUAAUGCCUCUUCGAGGCGUUUCAACACUGAUAAAUACCCAGGAAGAUCGUUCCUGGGAUCUGAUAGCAGGGACUUUUCAAGUCCAUGAACAGCAUCGAAAACCUUAAGCACUGCCGCAGCAGGGCCCACAGCUCGGUUAAUAUGGCCCCCGACAGCAACAAGUGCAUCCUUGUCGGCGCGAAUGGGGCGGACAGCAGCUUCUAAGGAAGGCAAUCGUUGGUUGAUCUCCUCUAACCUAGGUCCAGCCUUUUCAAGAGCCAAUCCUAGAGUUCUCGAUUUCUCUAAGCUAAGCUUCAGUGACUUUCUUGCAGCUAUCAAUUUAUCAAUACAAAAAUUGUUCUUGCAGUCGUUACCAGAUGCAGAUUGGUCCAUCUUAGCCCCCAAAGAAAAAUCCUAAUCACAACCCUAAACCAGAAAAACCCAAGCUUGCAACUAUAACUAUGAGUGAACUGAGACUACAAAUUUGAAAAUCUACAAGCAAUACCGCAAUGGGGUUUUUUUCCCUAGCUUACUUUUUUUGGGCGAUUUGAUCAAUUUUAUACGAAUUUAAUUAAGAAAAAACUCUCUUUUUUUUUCUUUUAUUCUUUACCGAACUCUCACCAAAUUAAACCCAAAAACAAAGUGAAUGGCGGAGAAAGCGAGUAAGAAAAACUCACUCCGAAAAUAGUUGAUUGAGAGAGGCGAGGUGAACCGGAGAGCUGAGCUGGAGUGGAAUCUGAAUCGGUGAGUUUUAGAUUCCGAAUUUCCAAGAGAGAAACCCUAAAGUGAAAAUAAGAGAGUAUAAAUAAUCUAAAAAAUUUGUCCCUUUUUUUAAAAAAAGGAAUAAUAUAUAUUAGCAUUGUAGAAAUCGCCGCCAAUGGUUUGCCUAUGGAAUCGUGUUUGGUUCAUUUAUAGCUUCAGGACACAGUAUAUUUGUCUUCAUGUCAUACUAAAGAUUGACUCCAUUUUACUCUUGGUUUAUCAAUAUUCAAAUGCAAGUCGAAAAAUAAUCAGAGCUAAUGAUGGAAAUUGUGUGGUGAAAUAAAUAAAACCAUUGCCCAACCUCAAACUCAUAUUCCAAAAUUAUUACUACCCUUUGUAAAUAAUUACAUUUAACUUUUAAUCAAAUCAAAAGUGAAACUAGAAAUUUUUUUGGGUAUCAAAAUUAUAUUGUAAUUUUUACGAUAUAAAAAAUAUAAUUUUGUAAUUUUUAAUUGUAGGGAGUUAAAAUGUAAUUUUACUUUUAUUAAUUUAAAAUUUAAAAAAAUUUAAAAAAACUCCAUUUUAAGAGGGUUGGGGCCAUUGUAAAUCCCUAAUUUCACCACUGAAUCAAUUUGUCAAUUUUUUGUACUUUACUUUUUUUUUAAAACAUUAUUGAUAUUAGAUUGAGAUCAUGGUAAUUGAUGACAGUUCAUUUAAAUGAUCGAGAAUCAUAAGAUAUAUUAUAAAAGUUUAAGAGGAAGAGAGAUUGUUGAUAGGGAGAAAGAAAGAGAAAAAUCUCGUAAUCGUAAGCUUUUGAGGAUUUUAUAAAUGAUAUUUAUGUCUUUUUUUCUGAUUGUAAAUUAUUAUGUAAGAACAACAUGUAAAUGAGACGCACAAAUGAUAGAGAGAACUUGUAAGAUAAAGGAUAAUUGUUUGAUGAACGAGGGAGGUAGUCUUGUGAGGUGUGUGCAUAUAGCAUAUGAAACUUGGAUUUUACAUUGGCCACCCAACUCUAAAGUUGUCUCAUUUCAUCAGCAUUGAUACACUAGUUUUAAGUUAUAUAAUAGGCAUGGAAUAGAUGAACCCAAUGUUCUUUGGGACUAGAUUUGAUAUAUGAUGAAUUAGAGCCUCUUGAAUUUGAAAUAAUAUAAAAGAGUUAAUACCCCUAAAUAAUUAUUCAGAUUUUAAAUUAAAUUUUAAAAUUUAAAAUGCUUUGAUUGAAUCUUCGAAAUUAUGUUCAUCAUAUCUUUUUUUUUUUUGUGAAGCCAGUAUCAAUUUAGGUAUUAAACACAUAGAUUAGACUACAAAUACGUGAAUAAACAACUGCAUGGACAAUUUAUAUUUGAUAUGAAGGACAAAUAGAGGAUUAUAUAAUAACACAAUACAAUAUAAUUUUGAAACAGAUUUAUCUUAAAAAGACAAAACACCUAAUAAUAAUAUAAUUUCGUAAAGUUAGAUUAAUGUUGAGUACAACUCGUGACACCAACUCGUAAAUAAUAAUGUAUGUAUGUAUGUAUACAUCAGCAGGAUACAGGAAGUUAAUAUUUGCCAGGAUAUGAGCAAAACAAAAGCACAGCUCCAAAAUAUGGUAGAAGAAGAAAGGGAAAGAACAGGAUAAAGAAGAUGCUGAAAUAAAUUCGAAGAAGGAACAUCUAUAUUUAUUAUCCAAUAAGUAAAAAUAAUCCAAGAAACAGCCGAACACUUUAUUCCCAAUGCAGAGGAACUGAGGAAGGUAAGUUCUCAAGGACAUGUACACCCUAUCCUAAUAGCACAAAAUAAUAAGGCAUCUCAUCCAAGUUGAUUCUUUAGGGAAUGCUGAUCUCUUAAUAAAUUAAUUAAUCACAGCUAGCCCCUUCAGUUUCCACUUUUUAUGUCACAAUAUUUGUACAUGAAAUCCACUAAAUUACAAUGCUUUUAUCCCAAACAAGCUAUCAACUAUAUAAUUAAAUAAACAUAAAUAUGAAAUUAAACUUGAAAUGCUAUACCUGGAUGUUAUUCUCUUAUCUACCAACCCAACACUGUUCUUGCUUGUUAUGUCCCCCAAUCCCACCCCACAUUUGCUUUACAGUUGACAAAGCAAAAUCUGCUUCACACAUCAAAUUCUGGCAAUUCCUUGAGUAAUGAAAUGUCAAAUGUCCAAAGCAUGUGCUGUCCAAGGGCAAAGGAUGAAUGAUGGAGAAUAGUUCUACCUCCGCCCUAAGAACACUGAUAUGUACAAGAUAUAAGAUUAAACCUCUAAAACAUGAACAUUUUAACCACCGCAACAUAAAUAGAUUGGACAAUCACGCAACAGCUGAUGCAGUCCGGCGAAGAUCUACCCCAUUAUCAAUUUUGCUGCCUGUUGGCCUACCUUUGAAACUGCCGUACCUUUCCCGCCUCGGUAGAAAAAGAGAAUGGAGCAUUUGUUCCAACCCCUGCACUGUGUACUUUACAUACUUACUGGAACUUGCAUCUUGCUCUACUAAUGGCCCAUAAGUUUGCAUAUAGCUUCGAUAAACAGGUAGAACCGUCUGCACUAUUAGUUGGCAUGUCUUCUCCCUCAAAUCUCUUUCUGGGAUAACCCAACCAGACUGCUUUCUAAACAUCUCAUCAAAAGCUUCAUUAAAAGUCUUGAGCCUUUUCUUUACAAGAUCACGAGCAUUGGCACGGCCGCCUGAUAACAUAAUUAACCCUUCACGGCUUAAAUGAACAGGGAGCUUAGCCCAGCUCUCUCUAAAGAAGACAGCAGAAUAAUACUCCUUGUACUGUUCAUGUUCUUUCAACCAAGAAUCUCCCAUGAGCUCUCCGACUUUUGUUCCCUUUAAGUCUUUGUAUAGAUGCCAGUGGCAGUUCAUGGCAAAAAGACAAGAAAGGGUAGUAUCACCAUACGCCUUCAUCCAUGUAUCCAAAUUCAAAUCGACAGCCUUUAUUAUUUUCGAAACCUCAUUUACAAGGAUCAUCUCCUGGAAUUUUUUAUGCUUCCAACUUUGGUGAAUGACAAGAACUUGGGUCAGGAUCGGCCUAUAAUCAUCACCAAGAAGUUUAUUGCAGUAAUCAGUUAUAGAACUCACCAAUUUCGGAAUGCUCCCAUCCUGAGGAGGAGGGCUCUGCCUCUGUAAUUCCACCUGAACAAAGAUCUCCCAGAAAAUUUCGGCUGCUCCGUCAAUAACCCUCUUGAUGAGAUCUCUUGUCAGGUUUUGGAUCUCAAUACACGCUGCUCCCCCAAAGAGCCUAUUGAAAUCCAAUCUCAAUUUGUUCAAAGAUGCAAAUAUGUCCAGUAGCUUGAGAAGCUUUAUAGGUUCUUUCUUACUCUCCGUAAUAGUCUUUCCGAACUGAAGAAAUGCAAGAAUACCAGCUUGUGCAGCUAUUUUUGCAAAACAACCCAUCCAAACAUCCAAGCCAAUCCUCUCGAAAACAUCGUUGCAAAGCUUGAACUCCGCCUCAAACAAAUGCUUUACUGCAAACUCCAAAUGUUUCCCCCACUGUCCUAUAUACCCCUCUAUGCUCUGCAUAUCAUUGAACUCUGAAACUGAGAUCUCAAGAUAAUCCAAAUCAAGUGCUUUCAAGCUAGCUCUGACGUUUGAACUGCGAACUUCAACAUAGAUUGCAAUGCACUUCUCAAGUCUAUUAUUAGCAAUCAGCCUACCAAGAAUCGCUUGUAACUUCUGAAUAACAGUCACAGGUAAGGGCGAUGGUGCAAUGCAUGCCUGUUCACCUAGUGACGGUGAUGACAUUGGAAGUGGCACACUAUGCUCCAUCAAUAGUCUUCUAAACUCAUUUUCCAGUUUAUCCAAUGCAGCAUCCAAAAGCCCACCAUCAAGAUGUAC
rnacentral:lncRNA from 1 species